UUGUGGAGGGUGGUUCCUGGGACAACGCCCAUGCCGUGAUCAGGAACGGGGUCAGCAGGAGUCAGGUGGGGAAGUGCCAGGUGUCCACUGCCACGACCAACACGUUACUCACACUCACGGCACAAGAAUGGCCUCUGUACCCUGUGUGUAGGCAUAUCCAGGCACAGUCGCUUGUAUGUCUGAGACCUCAAGCUGGAGAGUGCUGAUGGCCAACAUGCUGGUCACCUCUCCACAGUCCUUCCUCCUCCUGGACAACACCCCUGCUCUCUCUGGAUGGUCCUGAGCUAAGCCCGGAAGAACUUUCCAGGCCCAGGUUCCCCAUGCGGGGCUGCCUGAGCACCCCCACCCUAUGGCCAGCCCUGCUGCCCUGGCUUCCACCUCCAGAUCCUUCCUGCCAUGUCCCCCUCCAAUCAGAGCCGACCCACACUGUGUCCCUCCCAGUGGCUCUACUGCCUACUGAACACGUGCACCAUCACCGCCGUGGGGCCCACAGAGUCAAGGCUAUAAAGAGGGACUGAGAACACCGUGACGCCCUGGCCUGCGCACCCUCCUCUGCUCCAUCUGGGUCUGUCCGGAUGGCAGAGGCUCAGAGGGUCUGCCCCUACCAGAUGGUGGAGGCUCAGAAUGUCUGAGCCAGAAAAAGCAUGAAAGAAAACUUAGCCUUCCUCCUCCCAGUUAACAGGGCCAGCAUGAGGCUUUGGGGAGGUUCUGAGGCAGGAGACAUCCUACGUCAUCUCCACAGGUCAUGAACCCUAUAGCAUCUCCCACCAAGAGGGUCACGGACCCUACAGCAUCUCCCACCAGGAGGGCCAUGACCAGCCUCUGGGGCUGUGCUGCUGCAUGCCAAGGAGUAGCUGAAUCCUAGGAGUGGAGAAUCCCCAGCCUGGAAGGGGACCCCCUCCACCGACUGCCAUCACUCUGGGGCUCUCUGGCUUGAGGGCUCUCUGGGGCCACGAGGCCAGGCCUCCUCUCCACGUCCAAACAGGCUGGCUGGGUGCAAAAUGCCAUGGUGCUUGCUCUGGAUGGGCUGGAGUUUUCCCUAUUCAGGGGCCAGGGCAAUGGGUGGAGGGCCUGGGUAGAGAGGCAGAGCACGGUUGCGUCCAGGCUGUGCCACCCUGACCCUGAACUCAGGCCCACAGGAGGCUCCAGGCAACAGCUGCUCUCUCCUCUGCUGGGGCCUCCUGCCUGGAAAGCCUGCUCCCACCCACAAUGCCUAGAUUCCUCCCUCCAAGCAGCCUUAGAGACCCCUUUGGGAUCCAGAUCUGCUCUGCUCCUCACCCUGGGGAUCUGGGUGUCACUUUAAAUAAAGGGACCGCUCGUGCUCACCAGGCUGCGGGAUAUUCAGAGGCUGGGCUGGCAGUUCCCAUCCCGUGGUCGCAGAGUGCUAUGGAGGGGAGAUAAUAGGUGUGAUUUCUGUGCAGAGGAUGGACAGGGCUCCAGGGACAGAGGAUGCAGGAGUGACAGGCAUCAUCAGAUACCAUUUGUCCAGCAGCCGCUCCAGCCACCUGGUGUGGAUGUGGCCUCGUGUCCAUACUCUCCAGAGCACCCGGCUUAGUGGCUAUCUGCCUGGCUGUCUCUCCCAUUUUCAUGUGAAAGGGGGCCAGGCAGGACAUGGGGUCUGGGGACUGCCAUCUCCUCCUGGGGGCUGCACUGUGCUGACAGUCUUGUGUCCCCCUGACAGGGGCUGCACAGACGGGCCAGGCAGAAGUGAAGGAGAAGAAGGAAGCCAACAGAAGGUGGCUUUCAGGGCUGGUCACGCAGAGGGUGGAUUCUGACGGGCAGGGCUGCUGUGGGUGGUGGGCACCAUCUAUGCUCAUCCCUGCCCAGGCAGCUCUGGGCUCCCCCAGCUCAGGUGGGCCCCCUCCUCACCCAGGGCGCAGCUGUGGCUGGCAGCAGGCAUUCACCCCCUUCUCAGCUGCUCAGCCAUGGAACCAGGAGCUAACUCAAUUCCUCUGUCCCCAAAGUCUGUGCCCACCAGGCCAUCCGCCUCAAACACUUGGUGGCCAAGGCCUGGGGAUGGUCCCCAGGCUGCAUCUGGUCAGUGGUCAAGAGGCUGCACCUCUAGGAGCCUCCUCUGUCACUCACCCGCCCAGGCCUGGACAGCCUGGACACUCCAGCCAGAGGCAGCCCAGAGGGUGUGGGAGGGGCUCUCUGGGGACAGAGCAGGAGGGGACACUGCUGUGACCCUGUAGCUGCAGACAUGUGUCUCCACGAAGGGAAGAGGCUGCUGUCCACUGUCGCUUUCUGCAGUGACACUGUGCCCUGGCCCGGGCUCUCUGCUGGGUUGCAGAAGUGCCUGGGUCAGGACAGCUCGCAUCUGCCUUCACCGCAGACCCCUCUCUGCAGCCCAUCUGAGGCAAUGUGGCCUCUGCUGUCCAAGACUCACUUCGAGGGGAUCCUUUUCCUUUUUUAGUGGAAACCUGGUGUCCUCCCUUUGAGUGCUUUUAGGGGCUGGGGAGGAGGUGGCUAUUGGCGGCAGUGCGGGGGCUUCAUGCUCUGCCUGCGCGCAGCAGAGAACACGGCUUCAUUGGUGGGAUUUGUCUGGUGACUGGGCAGGUGGGUCGCCUGGACACGUGCUCCCAGCCUUCAGAUGUGACAAGGAGGGGACCAUUUGCGGGGUUGCUGUGUGCUGGGGACAGAGCAGAAAAUGCCAGGCGGCACCAUUUUUCCCACUCCCCACCCGCCCGUGCUCACUCAGAGGGAAUGUACAGAUAUUCUGUUUGUAAUUAAAAAGUAAUUUAAUUAUCCGCUGAAAA
rnacentral:lncRNA from 1 species